rnacentral:rRNA from 1 species
UACGUAGGGUGCGAGCGUUGUCCGGAAUUAUUGGGCGUAAAGAGCUCGUAGGCGGCCUGUCGCGUCGGAUGUGAAAGCCCGGGGCUUAACCCCGGGUCUGCAUUCGAUACGGGCAGGCUAGAGUGUGGUAGGGGAGAUCGGAAUUCCUGGUGUAGCGGUGAAAUGCGCAGAUAUCAGGAGGAACACCGGUGGCGAAGGCGGAUCUCUGGGCCAUUACUGACGCUGAGGUGCGAAAGCGUGGGGAGCGAACAGG